rnacentral:rRNA from 1 species
UACGUAGGGUGCAAGCGUUAAUCGGAAUUACUGGGCGUAAAGCGUGCGCAGGCGGUUCUGUAAGACUGUCGUGAAAUCCCCGGGCUUAACCUGGGAAUUGCGAUGGUGACUGCAAGGCUAGAGUUUGGCAGAGGGGGGUAGAAUUCCACGUGUAGCAGUGAAAUGCGUAGAGAUGUGGAGGAACACCGAUGGCGAAGGCAGCCCCCUGGGUCAAAACUGACGCUCAUGCACGAAAGCGUGGGGAGCAAACAGG